rnacentral:lncRNA from 1 species
GAAACAGGUAGGCGAAUUGGGGUUGAGGUUCUGUCUGUGGGUGAGGCGAGGAAGGCUGACCAGAAAAGUUGCAGUGCCCGUCUGCGCGUGCCAUCGAAGGGCUGGGUGCUGGAAAGAGCGCUAGCGCGGGGCCAGCACGCACUGCAGGGCCGGGAGCCGGGGGCAAACCGAAAAAGCUCAGCGGCACAGGCUGGGAGGCUGCAAGAGCGCCCCAGCCGCUCGGUGCUCCAGAGGCGCGCCCGCUCUAUCCCAUGCGGCCGCCCGGGGCCAGGGGCGCCGGGACGCGCCGGUCGCGGCGGCCGCGGGGCCGAGCGCGCGUGUGAGCGGCGGGCGGGCGAGUGUGCGCGGGCGGGAGGGCGGGGAGCGCGCGCGCCGCCCGGGCCCCGGCCCUCCCAGCCUCCCGGCCUCCGCGCCUGCCUCCCGCCCGCGCGCACCGGCUGCCCGCCGCCGCCGCCGCAGCUCCUGCUCGCGCCGGCGCUGCACGGGAGCCUGCCCGCCGCCGCCUGCUUUGUGCUUCCCCCCCGAAGAUGGGAGCGACCUCUUCCUGAUCUGGAGCUAUUUAAAAGGAGGGAGCGCGCGGCAGUUCCUCCUCGCGUGGAGGAACGGGGGAAGGAUCCAUCCACACUCCCCCAAACCAGUAGGUUGGGACAGUUGGAAGUCUGCCGUUGUACAACAUGCUGCGAUUCAGUCUCUCGUCCACCUUUUCGAUGGGAUUUCAUCUGUUAGCCAUCUUGGCACUCUUAUUUUUCCAUGUGGACCGUGUAAGUGCUGAGACAGAAAUGGAAGGAGAAGGCAAUGAAACCGGUGAAUGUACUGGCUCAUAUUACUGUAAGAAAGGGGUGAUUUUACCCAUUUGGGAGCCCCAAGACCCUUCCUUUGGGGACAAAAUUGCUAGAGCUACUGUGUAUUUUGUGGCCAUGGUCUACAUGUUUCUUGGAGUCUCUAUCAUUGCCGACCGGUUCAUGUCCUCUAUAGAAGUCAUCACGUCUCAAGAAAAAGAAAUAACCAUAAAGAAACCCAAUGGAGAGACUACCAAGACAACUGUGAGGAUCUGGAAUGAGACAGUUUCCAACCUGACCUUGAUGGCCCUGGGAUCUUCUGCUCCUGAGAUUCUCCUGUCAGUAAUUGAAGUGUGUGGCCAUAACUUUACUGCGGGAGACCUCGGUCCUAGCACCAUCGUGGGAAGUGCUGCAUUCAAUAUGUUCAUCAUUAUCGCGCUUUGUGUUUAUGUGGUCCCAGAUGGAGAGACGAGGAAGAUUAAGCAUUUACGUGUGUUCUUUGUGACGGCAGCCUGGAGCAUCUUUGCCUAUACCUGGCUUUACAUUAUUCUGUCUGUCAUCUCUCCUGGGGUCGUGGAGGUCUGGGAAGGUUUGCUUACUUUCUUCUUCUUUCCCAUCUGUGUUGUGUUUGCUUGGGUAGCAGAUAGGAGGCUUCUGUUUUACAAGUAUGUCUACAAGAGGUAUCGGGCUGGCAAGCAGAGGGGAAUGAUUAUUGAACAUGAAGGAGACAGGCCAUCUUCCAAGACUGAAAUUGAAAUGGAUGGGAAAGUGGUCAAUUCCCAUGUUGACAAUUUCUUAGAUGGCGCUCUUGUUCUGGAGGUCGAUGAGAGGGACCAAGAUGAUGAAGAGGCUAGGAGAGAAAUGGCUAGGAUUCUGAAGGAACUCAAGCAGAAGCAUCCAGAGAAAGAAAUAGAGCAAUUAAUAGAAUUAGCUAACUACCAAGUCCUAAGUCAGCAGCAAAAAAGUCGAGCAUUUUACCGAAUUCAAGCUACUCGCCUGAUGACUGGAGCUGGCAACAUUUUAAAGAGGCAUGCAGCUGACCAAGCAAGGAAGGCUGUCAGCAUGCACGAGGUCAACACUGAAGUGGCUGAAAAUGACCCUGUUAGUAAGAUCUUCUUUGAACAAGGGACAUAUCAGUGUCUGGAGAACUGUGGUACUGUAGCCCUGACCAUUAUCCGCAGAGGUGGUGAUUUGACCAACACUGUGUUUGUUGACUUCAGAACCGAGGAUGGCACAGCCAAUGCUGGGUCCGAUUAUGAAUUUACUGAAGGAACUGUAGUCUUUAAGCCUGGGGAGACCCAGAAGGAAAUCAGAGUUGGCAUCAUUGAUGAUGAUAUCUUUGAGGAGGACGAAAAUUUCCUUGUGCAUCUCAGCAAUGUCAAAGUGUCUUCUGAGGCUUCGGAAGAUGGCAUACUGGAAGCCAAUCACAUUUCUACACUCGCUUGCCUUGGAUCGCCCUCCACUGCCACUGUGACUAUUUUUGACGAUGACCAUGCAGGCAUCUUUACUUUUGAGGAACCUGUGACUCAUGUGAGUGAGAGCAUUGGCAUCAUGGAAGUGAAAGUCUUGAGAACAUCUGGAGCUCGAGGAAAUGUUAUCGUUCCCUAUAAAACCAUUGAAGGGACUGCCAGAGGUGGAGGGGAGGAUUUUGAGGACACUUGUGGAGAGCUGGAAUUCCAGAACGAUGAAAUUGUGUAA